UACGUAGGGACCAAGCGUUGUUCGGAUUUACUGGGCGUAAAGGGCGCGUAGGCGGCGAAUCAAGUCAGCUGUGAAAUCUCCGAGCUUAACUCGGAACGGUCAGCUGAUACUGUUUUGCUAGAGUGCAGAAAGGGCAACCGGAAUUCUUGGUGUAGCGGUGAAAUGCGUAGAUAUCAAGAGGAACACCUGCGGCGAAGGCGGGUUGCUGGGCCGACACUGACGCUGAUGCGCGAAAGCUAGGGGAGCGAACGGG
rnacentral:rRNA from 1 species